rnacentral:rRNA from 1 species
ACCCUUGCCUCCAGGCGUCGAGCGGCGGACGGGUGAGUAAUGCAUAGGAAUCUGCCCGGUAGUGGGGGAUAACCUGGGGAAACCCAGGCUAAUACCGCAUACGUCCUACGGGAGAAAGCAGGGGAUCCGUGUUCUUCGGAACGGGGACCUUGCGCUAUCGGAUGAGCCUAUGUCGGAUUAGCUUGCUGGUGAGGUAAUGGCUCACCAAGGCGACGAUCCGUAGCUGGUCUGAGAGGAUGAUCAGCCACAUCGGGACUGAGACACGGCCCGAACUCCUACGGGAGGCAGCAGUGGGGAAUAUUGGACAAUGGGCGAAAGCCUGAUCCAGCCAUGCCGCGUGUGUGAAGAAGGCUUUCGGGUUGUAAAGCACUUUCAGUGAGGAAGAACGCCUCGGGGCCAAUACCCCCGAGGAAGGACAUCACUCACAGAAGAAGCACCGGCUAACUCCGUGCCAGCAGCCGCGGUAAUACGGAGGGUGCAAGCGUUAAUCGGAAUUACUGGCCGUAGAGCGCGCGUAGGUGGCCUGAUAAGCCGGUUGUGAAAGCCCCGGGCUCAACCUGGGAACGGCAUCCGGAACUGUCAGGCUAGAGUGCAGGAGAGGAAGGUAGAAUUCCCGGUGUAGCGGUGAAAUGCGUACAGAUCGGGAGGAAUACCAUUGGCUAAGGCUGCCUUCUGGACUGACACUGACACUGAGGUGCGAA